rnacentral:rRNA from 1 species
UUGUAAGUGUCUAAGGGCGCAUGGUGGAUGCCUUGGCAUCGAGAGCCGAUGAAGGACGUGGGAGGCUGCGAUAAGCCUCGGGGAGCUGUCAACCGAGCGUGGAUCCGAGGAUUUCCGAAUGGGGAAACCCAGCACGAGUGAUGUCGUGUUACCCGUACCUGAAUAUAUAGGGUGCGGGGGGGAACGCGGGGAAGUGAAACAUCUCAGUACCCGUAGGAGAAGAAAACAAAAGUGAUUCCGUCAGUAGUGGCGAGCGAACGCGGAACAUGGCUAAACCGCACGCAUGGGUAACCGGGUAGGGGUUGUGUGUGCGGGGUUGUGGGAUCGAUAUGUCUCAGCUCUACCCAGCUGAGGGGCAGUCAGAAAGUGUCGUGGUUAACGGAAGUGGCCUGGGAUGGUCUGCCGUAGACGGUGAGAGCCCGGUACGUGAAAACCCGGCACCUGCCUUGUAUCAAUUCCCGAGUAGCAGCGGGCCCGUGGAAUCUGCUGUGAAUCUGCCGGGACCACCCGGUAAGCCUAAAUACUUCUCGAUGACCGAUAGCGGAAUAGUACCGUGAGGGAAUGGUGAAAAGUACCCCGGGAGGGGAGUGAAAUAGUACCUGAAACCGUGUGCCUACAAUCCGUCAGAGCCUCUCCGUUUAUAGCGGGUGGGGUGAUGGCGUGCCUUUUGAAGAAUGAGCCUGCGAGUCAGGGACAUGUCGCAAGGUUAACCCGAGCGGGGUAGCCGCAGCGAAAGCGAGUCUGAAUAGGGCGUAUCACGCGUAAGCGUGUGUAGUGGCGUGUUCUGGACCCGAAGCGGAGUGAUCUACCCAUGGCCAGGGUGAAGCGCGGGUAAGACCGCGUGGAGGCCCGAACCCACUUAGGUUGAAGACUGAGGGGAUGAGCUGUGGGUAGGGGUGAAAGGCCAAUCAAACUCCGUGAUAGCUGGUUCUCCCCGAAAUGCAUUUAGGUGCAGCGUUGCGUGUUUCACCACGGAGGUAGAGCUACUGGAUGGCCGAUGGGCCCCACUAGGUUACUGACGUCAGCCAAACUCCGAAUGCCGUGGUGUAUAGCGUGGCAGUGAGACGGCGGGGGAUAAGCUCCGUACGUCGAAAGGGAAACAGCCCAGAUCGCCGGCUAAGGCCCCAAAGCGUGUGCUAAGUGGGAAAGGAUGUGCAGUCGCAGAGACAACCAGGAGGUUGGCUUAGAAGCAGCCACCCUUGAAAGAGUGCGUAAUAGCUCACUGGUCAAGUGAUUGUGCGCCGAUAAUGUAGCGGGGCUCAAGCACACCGCCGAAGCCGCGACAACCGCAAGGUUGGGUAGGGGAGCGUCCCUCAUUCAGCGAAGCUGCCGGGUGACCGGUGGUGGAGGGUGGGGGAGUGAGAAUGCAGGCAUGAGUAGCGAUAAGGCAAGUGAGAACCUUGCCCGCCGAAAGACCAAGGGUUCCUGGGCCAGGCCAGUCCGCCCAGGGUGAGUCGGGACCUAAGGCGAGGCCGACAGGCGUAGUCGAUGGACAACGGGUUGAUAUUCCCGUACCCGUGUGUGGGCGCCCGUGAUGAAUCAGCGGUACUAACCACCCAAAACCGGAUCGAUCACUCCCCUUCGGGGGCGUGGAGGUCCGGGGCUGCGUGGAACCUUCGCUGGUAGUAGUCAAGCGAUGGGGUGACGCAGGAAGGCAGCCGUACCAGUCAGUGGUAAUACUGGGGCAAGCCCGUAGGGAGAGCGAUAGGCAAAUCCGUCGCUCACUAAUCCUGAGAGGUGACGCAUAGCCGAUUGAGGCGAAUUCGGUGAUCCUCUGCUGCCAAGAAAAGCCUCUAGCGAGCACACACACGGCCCGUACCCCAAACCGACACAGGUGGUCAGGUAGAGAAUACCAAGGCGUACGAGAUAACUAUGGUUAAGGAACUCGGCAAAAUGCCCCCGUAACUUCGGGAGAAGGGGGACCGGAAUACCGUGAACACCGUUGCGGUGGGAGCGGGAUUCGGUCGCAGAAACCAGUGAGAAGCGACUGUUUACUAAAAACACAGGUCCGUGCGAAGUCGCAAGACGAUGUAUACGGACUGACGCCUGCCCGGUGCUGGAAGGUUAAGAGGACCCGUUAACCCGCAAGGGUGAAGCGGAGAAUUUAAGCCCCAGUAAACGGCGGUGGUAACUAUAACCAUCCUAAGGUAGCGAAAUUCCUUGUCGGGUAAGUUCCGACCUGCACGAAUGGCGUAACGACUUCUCAACUGUCUCAACCAUAGACUCGGCGAAAUUGCACUACGAGUAAAGAUGCUCGUUACGCGCGGCAGGACGAAAAGACCCCGGGACCUUCACUACAACUUGGUAUUGGUGUUCGGUACGGUUUGUGUAGGAUAGGUGGGAGACUAUGAGACCUCAACGCCAGUUGGGGUGGAGUCGUUGUUGAAAUACCACUCUGAUCGUAUUGGACACCUAACGUCGAACCCUGAAUCGGGUUCACGGACAGUGCCUGGCGGGUAGUUUAACUGGGGCGGUUGCCUCCUAAAAUGUAACGGAGGCGCCCAAAGGUUCCCUCAACCUGGACGGCAAUCAGGUGUUGAGUGUAAAUGCACAAGGGAGCUUGACUGCGAGACUUACAAGUCAAGCAGGGACGAAAGUCGGGAUUAGUGAUCCGGCACCUCUGAGUGGAAGGGGUGUCGCUCAACGGAUAAAAGGUACCCCGGGGAUAACAGGCUGAUCUUCCCCAAGAGUCCAUAUCGACGGGAUGGUUUGGCACCUCGAUGUCGGCUCGUCGCAUCCUGGGGCUGGAGCAGGUCCCAAGGGUUGGGCUGUUCGCCCAUUAAAGCGGCACGCGAGCUGGGUUUAGAACGUCGUGAGACAGUUCGGUCUCUAUCCGCCGCGCGCGUCAGAAGCUUGAGGAAACCUGUCCCUAGUACGAGAGGACCGGGACGGACGAACCUCUAGUGCACCAGUUGUCCCACCAGGGGCACCGCUGGAUAGCUACGUUCGGACAGGAUAACCGCUGAAAGCAUCUAAGCGGGAAACCUUCUCCAAGAUCAGGCUUCUCACCCACUUGGUGGGAUAAGGCCCCCCGCAGAACACGGGUUCGAUAGGUCAGACCUGGAAGCUCAGUAAUGAGUGAAGGGAACUGACACUAACCGGCCGAAAACUUACCAACACACAAAAAUCG